CAGGUCUCUGCACCUAUUACUGAAACUCUUUCCAGCAAGGUGAAGACUUCAUUUGUGGAAGGUGAAGGUGCCUGCA